UGGUGAAAAGAGGUGGAGUAGUAGCAAUUGCUGCGGCUUAUAUUGCAAUUAGGAAAUUAGGAAUGUUAUUAAGGGAAGGAUCGGAUGCGGCUAGAGAGAGUGCAGUGGCGACUCUUGUUACGAUUUUUCGAAAAGGAGGAUCGGGAAAGGGGGGUGGGAGAACUAGCAGCAAUUGCUGGAAUUGAGAGAAUUAUAUGGGAAAUGAUGAGUUCAGGGACAAUGAGGUCAAGAAGAAAAGCGGCUACUCUUUUGAGGAUUCUCCGAAGAUGGGCGGCUGG
rnacentral:misc_RNA from 1 species